rnacentral:rRNA from 1 species
UAUGGGAGCCGGCCGCAUGACUUAAGCAUUAUCARUAAGCGGAGGAAAAGARACCAACAGGGAUUGCCUUAGUAACGGCGAGUGAAGCGGCAACAGCUCAAAUUUGAAAGCUGGCCCUUUUAGGGUCCGCAUUGUAAUUUGUAGAGGAUGAUUCGGCGAGGGCUCCUGCCUAAGUCCCCUGGAACGGGGCGUCAUAGAGGGUGAGAAUCCCGUAUGCGGUAGGUUGCCUUAGCCAUGUGAAUCUCCUUCGACGAGUCGAGUUGUUUGGGAAUGCAGCUCUAAAUGGGAGGUAAAUUUCUUCUAAAGCUAAAUACCGGCCAGAGACCGAUAGCGCACAAGUAGAGUGAUCGAAAGAUGAAAAGCACUUUGGAAAGAGAGUUAAAAAGUACGUGAAAUUGUUGAAAGGGAAGCGCUUGCAACCAGACUUGUCCGCAGUUGCUCAGCCGGUCUCCUGACCGGCGUACUCUUCUGCGGCCAGGCCAGCAUCAGUUCGGGCGGUCGGAUAAAGGCCUCGGGAAUGUGGCUCCUCUCGGGGAGUGUUAUAGCCCGGGGUGCAAUGCGGCCAGCCUGGACUGAGGAACUCGCUUCGGCAAGGAUGCUGGCGUAAUGGUUGUAAGCGGCCCGUCUUGAAACACGGACCAAGGAGUCUAACAUCUAUGCGAGUGUUCGGGUGUCAAACCCGUACGCGUAAUGAAAGUGAACGGAGGUGGGAACCCGCAAGGGUGCACCAUCGGCCGAUCCUGAUGUCUUCGGAUGGAUUUGAGCAAGAGCAUAGCUGUUGGGACCCGAAAGAUGGUGAACUAUGCCUGAAUAGGGUGAAGCCAGAGGAAACUCUGGUGGAGGCUCGCAGCGGUUCUGACGUGCAAAUCGAUCGUCAAAUUUGGGUAUAGGGGCGAAAGACUAAUCGAACCAUCWAKURGCUGGUUCCUGCCGAAGUCCCCCCUCGGGGUUA